rnacentral:rRNA from 1 species
UACGGGGGGGGCAAGCGUUGUUCGGAAUUACUGGGCGUAAAGGGCUCGUAGGCGGCCAACUAAGUCGGAUGUGAAAUCCCAAGGCUCAACCUGGGAACUGCAUCCGAUACUGGAUGGCUUGAAUCCGGGAGAGGGAUGCAGAAUUCCAGGUGUAGCGGUGAAAUGCGUAGAUAUCUGGAGGAAUACCGGUGGCGAAGGCGGCAUCCUGGACCGGCAUUGACGCUGAGGAGCGAAAGCCAGGGGAGCAAACGGG